AUGGCACAGCAGGUGAAGAAGGCGCCGGAGCCGGAGGUGCAGGACUCGGAGAUCCAGACACAGCAGGUGAAGAAGGCGCCGGAGCUGCAGGACCCGGAGAUCCGGGCAGAGCUGGACCGCCGCGCCCGCGAGGAGGGCGAGACCGUCAUCAAGAGCGGCGCCGGCGGCAAGACCCUCGAGGCGCAGGAGCGCCUCGCAGAAGGGCGUAAGAAGGGCGGGCUGAGCCGUGCGACCGGCUCCGGCAACGAGCGCGCCGAGGGUGAGGGCGGGGUGGUGAUCGAGCCGGACGAGAAGAAGCUCGAGGAGGUCAAGAAGGAUCUCGGGCGCGAAUGA
rnacentral:rRNA from 1 species